ACCCAACUCUUCUGGGGAGCUACAAUGGUCCUUAGUGCAUUGCUUUGGGCAGGUCCUGUUACAGAGAGGUUCCUGCAGCUUUGGCCAUGCAAGUCUUUCCUUCACAGGGAACUUCACAUCCUGGCCUCUGCCUCUGCGAAGGAAGACCCACAUCCUCAAUCUCAGCUGUACUCUUCCAAGGAAUGAAAUCUAGUUGGUUUGAUGCGAUUUGUCUCCUGUGUGUAACUGCAGAGCUUGGCAGAACCCGGGCAGAUAUUUCUGGUGGGAUGCAACAUGAUGGUGACUCUUCUCCUGCCCAGCCCAACUGUGACAGGGAGCUGCUGCAACUAAUAAGUUGAUCCCACCUGGUGCAGAGAGCGCAGUGCCUCGCAGGGACAUCACCAUCCUGCUUAGUCCUGCAGUGAGCAGAGCUGGCAGCUGGAACUGGAGUGCGAUUUGGAGUGUGUUUGGGUUCCCUUGCCACUGUCAAGAAUUACCCUGAAGAGUACUUAAAUAUCUCUCUUAAUGAUUGCAUUAAGUUUCAUGCCACCGAUAUUCCUGGCAGUUCCUCUGCCAGCUAAAGUGCUAAAUAUCCUGAUUUUAUCGUGCAUACCUAUGGAUUACAAAUAGAUCUUAUUAACUGCUCAGAACUGACACAUCUAUU
rnacentral:lncRNA from 1 species